GGCAAGAUGGCCGAGCGGUUAAGGCGUGUGACUCAAGUGUAACAGCUUGCCUGUUCAGGUUUCUCAUCACGUAAUGUGGCGUGGGUUCGAGUCCCACUCUUGUCA